CUCCAUGAAUUCCCCAAUGACAUCUUCACGAACGAGGACAGGAGACACGGAGCUGUGGUCCUGCACGUCCUCUGUGCUGUGUACAUGUUCUACGCCUUGGCAAUCGUCUGCGAUGACUUCUUUGUCCCUUCGCUGGAAAAGAUCUGCGAACGCUUGCAUCUCAGUGAAGAUGUGGCUGGGGCAACUUUCAUGGCAGCAGGAAGCUCUGCUCCUGAGCUGUUCACAUCUGUCAUAGGUGUUUUUAUCACAAAAGGAGACGUAGGCGUUGGAACCAUUGUAGGCUCAGCUGUAUUCAACAUCCUCUGUAUUAUUGGUGUGUGUGGGCUUUUUGCAGGACAGGUUGUUGCACUGUCCUCGUGGAGUCUCUUGAGAGAUUCAAUCUACUACACGCUGUCUGUUGUUGCACUCAUCGUGUUUAUUUAUGAUGAAAGAGUUUCCUGGUGGGAGUCCUUAGUCUUGGUGCUGAUGUACGUCAUCUACAUCUUUAUAAUGAAGUACAACUCAACCAUUCAUCACUGCUUUGAGAGGAAGACAAAAAACUCUGCAAAUAUGGUGAAUGGUUUAGCAAGUAACACGGAAAUGGACGACAACAGCAACUGCGAUGCCACAGUGGUGUUACUAAAGAAAGGUAACUGUUCCAGAAAUUUCCACCGUAAAGCCUCAGUGAUCAUGGUUGAUGAGCUGCUCUCUGCCUACCCACACCAGCUUUCAUUUUCCGAAGCUGGGCUCCGGAUCAUGAUAACCAGCCAUUUCCCUCCCAAAACACGUCUCUCCAUGGCCAGCCGUAUGUUAAUCAAUGAGAGACAGAGGCUGAUCAACAGCAGGACUUACACCAAUGGUGAGUCAGAAGUAGCAAUCAAAAUACCCAUCAAGCACGUGGUGGAGAAUGGAACAGGCCCCAGCAACUCUGCCGAGCGCGGUGUCAACGGCACGCGGCGGGACGAGGACGUGGCCGAGGCUGGGAACGAGAAUGAGAACGAGGAUAACGAGAACAACGAAAACGACGAGGAAGAGGAUGAGGAUGAUGAUGAUGAUGAUGACCAUGACGGGCCAUACACACCUUUUGACCUACCCACUGGCAAGAUAGAAAUGUUGAAGUGGGUCUUCACAUGGCCCUUGAGUUUUGUCCUGUACUUCACAGUGCCCAACUGUAACAAACCCCACUUGGAAAAAUGGUUCAUGGUCACCUUUGCUUCUUCUACCCUGUGGAUUGCAGCUUUUUCUUACAUGAUGGUGUGGAUGGUGACAAUCAUUGGGUACACACUGGGAAUUCCAGAUGUGAUCAUGGGCAUCACUUUCUUGGCAGCAGGAACCAGUGUGCCAGACUGCAUGGCAAGCCUUAUCGUGGCCAGGCAAGGUAUGGGGGAUAUGGCCGUGUCCAACUCCAUCGGAAGCAAUGUUUUUGAUAUUUUAAUUGGCCUAGGCCUUCCAUGGGCUUUGCAGACCCUAGCAGUGAAUUAUGGAUCAUACAUUCGGUUAAACAGCAGAGGACUUAUCUAUUCUGUCGGUCUCCUGCUGGCAUCGGUUUUUGUCACAGUUUUUGGUGUCCACAUGAACAAAUGGAAACUGGAUAAGAAGCUAGGGUGUGUGUGCCUUUCCCUUUACGGCAUCUUCCUGUGUUUCUCCAUCAUGACAGAAUUCAAUGUUUUCACUUUUGUGAACUUGCCAAUGUGCAGAGAUCACUAAUGCAGGUGGCAGACUGUCGGGAGGAGCUUCCUUUUUACCUGUGCAAUACAAGCCACGGCUGGCAUCUCCUGGAUGCAGUGCACCUCCAAGUCGUGACCUGUUCACUGUUCACUGUUCAUAGGACCCGUGGCCCCGUCUAGGUUUGCCCUCUCCUUGGUCCCCACAACCUGGAACAAUCCUUCAUCGAUGGGAAGAGUUUCUUUCAACAUCCACGUGAUUUCCUAGCUCAGUUUUUGAACAGUGGGACUCGAGAUGAACUGGCUGCUAACUGGCGUUAAGCCAGUCAAAACUGAUCUGCUACAAUUCCUUCUUUUUUUAAGUUAUUUGAUGGAAGACUAAUUAAUUUAUGACUUAAGACUAUUGCUACAAUGCAGAAGAGGGUACGUCAUAUGGAGGUUGACUUUCAAGGAGAAUCAUGGGAAUUUUUUUUUUUUUUGGUUGUGGGGAGUGUUUUUUGUUUGUUUUUAGCUUUUAGUUUUGGGUUUGCAGGUUUUUUUUCUUUGUUUGGGGGUGGGGGUAUUGUUUUUGUUCUUUUUUUUUUUUUUACUUGCCAGAGAUCAACAUCCUCUCUUGCAUCCUCUCCUUCUGAGUGCUGGGUCUCCUGUAACAAUCCAAAGGCCGCAGGGCAGUGUAAAAUGGAAAUGCAAUUCAAGGAACUCAGCAUAAGAAUGGAUAAAAGAUCAAGGAAAAACUGAUGACUUUUUACUAUAAAUAGUUAACCUUGUACAGGUUUGUUAAAGAAUGCAAGCUAAGUGUGGAUUCAAAGGGUAAACACUGCUACCAUUUUACUAUGAAUGUUGGAGUUUUAUUACUGGGGUGUUUGUUAUUUCCAAGCAAUAGUUUGGUCGCCAGCCCAGAAGGGCUUCCAAGGAGGUGUCCUGGUUUUUAACGGUCUGCACAUGGAAACGGAAGGUCAGAACUUUCUCUGCCUCAUCAGAUUUCUUGUUUUGGGGGGAUUCAAUAGUUCAUGUCUUAUUCAUUCUGAGAAGGACAUAAGUACAUGUGAAAACUUUUCUAAAUGAGUUACAGACACUGGUUUCUUUAAGAGGAAAGAGGCAUAUUUUGCACAGACAUAGUUACUGAAGUCGUAAUUUGCCAUUCUUUAAAGAACACACUGGACCUGGCCAGAUAUUUGUCAUCUUAAGCAGUUGAACUUACCUGAUAAAGGAUUGUGUGGAUUCAUCACCCCUCCUUCUGGGAGGGAGGAAGACUGAGAUGGCGCAUUUUAAAAUGUGGAAUAUCUUCAGCGCAGACUCGCUCACAGAUCUUAAGUUAUUGUGAAAGUUUAGCUAGUCAUUGUUCCAAUAUCCCUGCUAGAUUUUGUAUAGUUCUGUAUUAAUAUGCAGGCAGAUUCCACCCCUGGGAAACACCAUCAUUACUUCAUUUGUAUGUAUUGAUACUGUGGGUUCUUGCCACUGUGGCUCUUGUAUUUACUUUAAGCACUGAUCACUUCUGAUCCAUUUGGUAUGUUUUUUCCUCUUGUGUAUGUUCUGCUAUGAAAUGUAUUAAGAGAAUACCAGCUAGGUGAAUGUUUUUGUCUAUGGUACAAACAGUGGCAAAUAAUAGUAAAGGUACAGCAAAAGAAGAAAACCCAAAACACCAAACCCUAAACUACAGCAGGAAAAGGAAGAGAGCCACGUUCUGUUCACAGAUGAAAAGCCGGUUUUUAUUUCAUUUGUACUUUCGGAAUUAAUUUUUUUCAAUCUGAUUUUCUUUGGGAAAAAUGUUGCAAAUGAAAAUAUCUGCACUGUGUGGUUUCCCUCCAGCUCAGCAGCAGGUUUUCUUUGUUUGUUACACCAAACACGUGGAGGCACUGCCGGCUCUCGCGCUGUGCGUGGCAGCAAAGUCCUGGGGAAGAAGCCACGUCCUGCUGGCCUCGCUCGGGGAAUGCUGGAUCCCUGGCAAGAAGAAGGAAGGGUCCAGGGACAGACAGUGGAGAGAGUGGAUGACAUGCCUGUAUCACCAGUUCUCAUCCUGGAAAGCAAUUGCGUUGCUGCUUGUUGAGCUCUGCGACUGAGAGUGUUCUGCAAGCAGCUUGUUCUAAGCAGCAGCCAAAGGUACCUUGAACUGCCGUUACCUGUGCCGUGGAUGGCUCGGUAAGCACGAGGUUCCAGAGCCAUGCUUCCUGCCAGAUGUGCUGAUGAUUUGCAGCUAAAUCGUCAGGUCCAGACCUGGUUUGGGAUAGAGCAAAUGGACUGAGUGUGCCAGGAGAGAGCGCCCUUCUCACGCUUGUUAGCACAGUCACGGCCUGUGUGGAAGGACCCAGAGCGAAAAACAGGCAAUUUUUGGCAUCCUUCCUUUACACCGUCUUCAAAAGUGGCCUGGACGGUUCUGAUCCAAUGUAGGGCGUGCUCAGAGCUUUACUGGGCCUCCCAGGGGUUCUCCCUUCCCCGGGGGUUGUUCCUUGCAGGUCAGACCCUGGAGCACGGGCAGUGCCUGGCUGCAGUGUCCCCACGGGAGGCUCAGCCGUGCCUGAGCCCUCGGGAGCCAGCCAGGCUGGCACAGCUGCUCUGGGGAGGAGGGAGGGAGCCGAGGGGCUCUGAGGCCAGGGCUUGGGGGGCUGCAGGGAGCCACUGGGGAAGCUGUGUUCUCUUGGGUAUUUUUAGCGUGACUGUGGUUCAUUUGCAGUUUUCAUCUUCUCAAAGCAACCUUGGCGUCUGAGGCUGCUCUGGUUCUUGGACCAGUCGACUGUUUUUGUUUCCAUGCCUAGCAAUUUCAGACAAUCUUCAAUGAGUAUUUCAAAGGGAAAUUAAAGAGCCUUUUCCUCCAUGGAGAGGCUUCACUGCAGUUCUGACUUUGACUUAAAUAACGUGAUCCUUGGCUGGCUUCAGAUCUGCUUGACGUAGAUGGUCUUCCUUUGACAGAGGUUCAUAGGCAGAAUGAUACAGGAGGAUAUGAUAAGAGAUGGUCUUAAGACAUGCUCAGAAAACUGCUUUUGUCCCUACCAAAGGUGAAUUUUUUACUUGCCCUUUAUUUUUCUUCUUCAUGUGCUGCGCUUUUUAACAGACUUUUUCUGCAAUAGGAGCACCAAUAUAAAAAGUGUGCAUGGGAGAUUUUCACUUGCAUAAUUUACUCGUUUUGCUGUGGUGCCACUUGCAUGCUUACUUUCCAGCUCUCUGUCCUCAGCUGUGUCAGUGAAAUCAAUUGAUUAGCUUUGGACUUGUGGAGAAUGAGGUGCAGGGCUGGGGUUUUUUCUCGACAAAACAAAUCAGGUUGAACAGCAGUCAAGUUUUAGGAAAAAACAACAUUCGAGGCAGGUGGAGCAACCUGAAGGUAACAUUUAAUACCCUGCUGUCAGAACAGGGAUUUCUGUAUGUCUUUUCCAAUUGAUACUUGUGAGAUAAAAUGUACAUUCAGUAUUGUUGAAUAACUUCUUGGAAAACCAUAGCUUUCUGCUUAUUGACAAAUGUUUCUUAUAUUAAUAUUUUUUGGAAACCCUAAUCCUUUCAGUUAAAUUUCACAGAGAUGCAAUAGUGUGAGAUUUAUCUAUUUCAAAGUUGCACCACUGGAGCUUUAAACUUGUUUAAAAAUGUGUUUUAAAAAUCAGUCUCAGUGGACCAUGCUUACCUGAAUUUAAUCUUGCCUUGUAGUUUCAAAGUUUCACUCGAUCAACAGACACUGCAAGUUAGUCUAAAAGAGACUUAAAUCCAGGUAAGAGUGUCCCUUUUAGGUUGGUACAACUUUAACUGAACCGGUUUAAAGCCAUGGUUUUAAGGAAAGCAGGAGAAGUUUGAAUAUUUGAAAGACCUCAGCCACUUCUGGCUUAAGGAGCUGCUGCAGGGUCUGAGUGUGCUGAAUGGAUGUACCAAGCAGAAUGCAAGGCUUAGUUUCAGGAAGAGAGUUUCCAGUAUUCAGGGACUUGAGUGAAAUCUGACCUUUGUGAAAUCAGAACCCCUGUGUCUGUUGUAGGGUCAGUGAUGUGUUUGUAGCAGUGAGUCCUGGAAGGGAUGGGGACACUGCAUUUUUGGGGGUGAGUGGCCUUUUUAUUUUCUUACCUGAAUAGAUGAAUGACUAUUAAUUAAUAAGACCAAGCACCUUUAUGGGAAUUUACAUUAAUAUUCUGUUAGCACUUAGUGGCCUCAAAUCUGAAGCACAGUUCCAAAAAGCAUUUACUUCUGCCCAAACUGCUUGCACUUUUCGGACUGAAUCUGCAGAAUCAAGCUCUGGUGAAGACUUGAUCCCUGUCUUCUGGAGAAGUUCACUUUAUUUCUGGGAAAGCAAUAGGGUAAGAAAUGGCAGUCUGUUUUGUUGUGCUCUGGGGAUGUAAAUUGGCUACAAAAUCAAUUAUUUGCUGGCCUCAAACAGUCAAGUUUGCCAAGUUAUCCAGGUUUGGGUAGAAGCACCUAAUUUCAGGAAGACUUCUGAAAAAAGCACAGAUUGUUUAAAGUAACAUAUUUUAAAAUGUAUUUAUGUAGCAAAAAAUACUUUACUGUGGUAUUUUUAGGUAGGUUUUUCUAAUAGACUUCCUGAAGGAGUUUGAAACCUUCCACACCAGAACCUGACAGAAAUCUUGUUAGUGUCAUCUUUGUCUGCCAGGUAGGGUUUGAAUGGUGCUAAAAGCCAACAUGGUAAUUUUAUAGCACAAAUUCAACACACUGUUUUUACUGCCAGCUGAGGAAAAACCCACCCCCAUGUGCCUGACCCUCUGAGGAUGCUUGCAGCUGGUUUCAGAUCCAUUCCAGUGCUGAGCAUUUGUCACUGAGAUUUGCCACUGGCAUGCCUGACAAGCAAAGCGAGACCUUGGGCUCCCAGAGGUGCUGAACAUUUUGUCCUGUCAGGAGAGGGCUGCUGGGGCACAGGCCCCUUGGCUGCUGGUUACUGCUGCCAGUCUGGGGUUACAUUUGCUCUUCUUUCAGAGCAGGGGCCUGUGUUUCCCUGAGGACCAAGUCUUUCCUUAGCUCUGGUCAGGGCUGCUUUUGGCUGACGCUUGCUGGAGCAGGGAGGGAACAAGCGCUCCGUUCACUUCACAUGUGUAGAGGCAGAUGCUGUGUCACAGGAGGACUUCAGAUGGAGCCUGUAUAAAUGUAGGGAUGUUCCAUGAAAUCUCUUCCAGGAGCAGACAUCUCUGUACCCACAGCAGCCACCCGCUUGCUUCCUUAUUUUACCUUGCUUCUUGUGUUGGCAGGAUUCUGAAUUCUGCUUCCACUUUCUCAUAAGCUGCAUCCCUCUGGCUUUGAAGGCUGGCCCCCAUCCUGCUUUCUGUAACACAGAAUUAAUGCACUGGGCUAGCACAAACAGUGUGCAGGUUUUGAUCCAGUAAGCUGGUGGGAGAAAAUGCAAGGAGAUCCUUGCUUGGCACACCAGGCUCCAAACAGAACAAGUUGCCUGCCUGGAAAGUGCCCCAAGCCACUGGGAUAAUCAGGCACUGCACAGGACGUGGGGACACUUCUCAUGUGUUUUCAGAGACUUCCUCAAGGGAAUUUUGCACCCUGUCCAAAGACAUGCACAAUACAAUAAAUAUAAUUGAUCUGAUUAAGGGAUUCUAGAUCUGACCUGGGCCUUUUACACUUUGUGAAGCCAGAACUAUGGGAGUUUUACUGAGGGACUCGGUCACAAGUUCAUAUAAUUCAUUGGCAGGUUUUGGGUUUUUUUUUUUAAAAAAAAUGUAUGAACAUAGGUUUGUAUUGAAGCAAAAUACAAGAUAUACACAUAUAUAUAUAUACACACACACUUCACCUAGUAAAGUAUAUGCGUUAGCUGUUGUUAAAUUGAAGCCCUGUGCUAACCAGCUGUUUCUGCAUAAGAAUAAAUUCUUACCACAGCAAGUGCUAAGAUGCUGUAAAUGUAUGAGUAUGUCAGACAGUCAUACACAUACCUAUUUAUAAACUCAAGCAAAGUUUUUAUUUCUUUUAGCAAGGUAUUGUGAGCGGUGCAUGGCCGUUGCCUAUCUGUAAUACAUCUGUGUACAUUCAGUAAUAUUUUUAAGUAUUGAUAGUCAUUUGAAAUUCCAGUUCUAUUGCUGAAUAUAAAGUCAUCUUUGGAGAAGGAAAAAAAAAAAAAAAGAGCACGUGUGAGACAUCGAGGAGGUCAGAAAGCUCUGCAGUAUUUAUGCAUUUUAUUUAUUUAUUUAUCAGACACAGAGUGCUGAGCCCCUGGUUCAAGAAGACAUUUCCUCACGCUGGCAGAUUCAGGAACCUAAUUUUGGUCCCCUCCUAAAGCUAAUGCCAGGUUUCCCUGGAUCAGGGGUCAAGCAGACUAAGCUAUUUAAAGCAUUGUUCCAUCCUUUUAAGUGAUCACGAAAAGGGGUGUGACCUUCUCAAAUGGGUCUUGUAACUUCUAUUAGUAGAGAAGCUGAGAAAGUGCUGAGACAUCCAAAGAUGCUUCUGCAGCUGAUCUGUAAGAGUAGAAGUAUGUAAAUAGUAAAUACUCCUUGCACUUUUAAUAUUUGUAAUAUCACUGUCACGAGGUACCAUUUGCAAUAACCAAAAUUCACCUUUUAUAAGCUACGCACAAGUAGAUUUUUUUAUUACUAUUUUUAGAGGGUUUUUUUUGUUCUCCCUUUUCAUUAAGGAAGUAAUCUCCUUUGUCUUGUUUUCCCCAGUUCUUUUCAACAGUAAGUGAUUGGCUCUGGUUAAAUGUGAAGAUCCUGCUAAACCAGGUGUUGUGUUCCAGCAAAUACUCAGGGGAAGCAGACAUUUAUUGUCCCAGCUUUGCAACAGGUUUGUUCCCAUGUACAGCAGGCAAGGACCUCCCACCUUGAAAUCCUGCAGUAACAACGGUCCCACCACUCACAAACACAGCAUUUCCUCUAUUUCCACCACACUGCUUUGGUUUCAGAGGGUUCAGCAGAAACCUGAUGCAGAUCCGUGUAGAAGAAUGUAUCACAUCAUCACUAUCAGUGGGGAUACAGUCAGGCUUACAGGGGGAAAAUACAACAGCAAUGAUGGGGUGCUUUUACAGACAGUCUGUUGGAGGGGAUUUUGUUUUGCCAGCUUUUAAAGACAUGGGGGAAUUUUAGAUCAGGAAAGAAAUAAAAAGGAAGAUAAAGGCUGAUUGCACCAAGUACAGCUUCAUUCUUUCAUGAAGGUUUAUAUAAGGUUCAAGUGUUGAAUAGAGAGAGCUCCCAUAUUCUGUCAAGCAUGGAGAUCAGCUGAGUUGUUCGUCCUUGUUUCUCAGAAACAACCUUUUUCUCUCAUGUUUCCCACUGCUGAAUCAGGACCUCAGUGUAACAUGCAUUUCUGUAUCAUGGAACUUCCUUGUGAAAUGCUUGUAGGUGGAGUGAGCACAGAGAUGGAACCACAGCGGGUUUUUGAAAGAAGCCAAAGCAAGAUGUUUGUGUAGUGACUUUGUUCUGAAGCAAUUUUUUAAAAAAAUUGGUGGCAGAACCAAAGCACACCAAGUAGGAACCUGUAAUCAUGGAGCAUCUCUCAGUGGAGAGCAAGUACAAGUGAAAAUAGUAUGGCACCACUAAAAGUUGUCUGUAAUUCAGAUACUGGUAAAGUUUCACAGGGGUCACAUUUACAUGAAGAUUUUCCUGGAUGCUACUUGAUCUUUGCAGCCCUUGGUCUUUGGUCAGGAAGGGUGAGAAGUACUUUGUCCCUUUCUGAGGGAGAAGGAAGAGAGAUGCCUAAGCCAGCAUCUCUGACUCCCCCCAGGUGUGCCAGUCGCAGUCUGUGCACCUGAGAGUUCACUGGUGUGCAGUGCACUUUGCAGCACGUUGGAGAUUUAGAGAUAAACUUUAGCAUUCCCUUGAGGAGCAGUGUGGUUGACUUCGCUGUCUCCCCCCUUUUAAAGCUGAGAAUCUCUACUACACAGGCAGUAUUUGUGUGAGAUUACUAAUGGAAUGUUACCUUCAUCCUGCCAUCGCAUCUCUGCUUUCAGGACUGAAACCCUACUAGGAAGAUGUUUGUAGUGGUUUGGGGAAAUUGUUGGGGGUUUUUUUUGGUGGGGUUUUUUUGGGGGAUUUUUUUGCUGUCUGUCAAAGUCCUGUGCAAUAUGAACCCUCCUGGCAAGGUCUGGCAGUGGUUUGGAAGGGGCACUUCUGCCGAGCUCUCCAGCACAGGCCUGGCAGUGGGAGUUGAGACUCAGGUAAACCAGGAUUCCACAUUUCAGAAUGGUGAGCAGACAGACCUGUUGAUCCUCAAGUGUGCUGCACAAGUUUUAGCUCAUUCCAGUGUUUUUUAUCAAGCCAAGCCCAAACUGUUACAUGUACACGGUGCCAAGCCAAAGGCAGCCAGGCUCAGCACCCACGGUCAGCCUGGCUCACCGAGGUAUGUGGGGACAGCCCCAGGGCCAGCACUCCAUCUGGGGGUGGUGUUUAAAUCAUUUCGGGGCCCAGCAGUCACCUGUUCAAGACCUACUAAUUUCACAGAGCUGCAACAGAAAGUUUGGGUUUGUACUGUUGCUGAAGUCUUGGGCUGCUGAAUGCAAUCCCUGCCGUGGCUUGUUCGGAGGCAGAGGGCUGAGAUGUGCCAGUCUCUGAAUCGUGGGCACGGUGAGGUCUCUGCUUUGUGAUACAGUCACAGCAUCCAAGCUGCAGGAAGAACAGCAAUAAAAGUUACUGAUAGGAGUGCUUCUUGUCUGAUUCGGGAUCAAACGACGCUCUCUGGGUCCCUUAUGUCUGGGCAAUUCUGUGAUGCUUCUUCUUAUCAUAAGGAAGAAAAUGUAGGUGGAGCUAAGUGCAAAUGUACGUAUGAUGUAUGUUCAUUUACAACCAGCCAGAAAGCAAAAGAAGCAGUGGUUUCUAGUAAUAUAAUUGUACUCAAAAUAGCUUUCUAUUAAGUCAGCUUAAAAGUGUUAAAGUAGUGGAGCCACAGACAAAACAUUUGUUACCUUUUGAAAUGAUUUGCAAUGGUUUUGUCGUACUUGUACAAGUGUUAUAAGGUCAGCCUUUCUGUAUGUUUUACCACUUACUGUAGUCGUCUAUGCAUAGCUGUUCCACUUGCCUGUGUAAGUUACAAAUCUAACAGAAAUGAACGCAUGCAUUUUUCUCUGUUUGCUGGUAACCUAUGAAAAUAGAAACUUGUAUUUCUGUGUUUUUAAUGUGUUAUACUAUAAACAAAAUUCACAGCACUAUUGUCUAUGGAAUAGCAAAAAGUUUUAUUAGAAUGAAUUACUUUAAAUGUUUUGUCAAUUGAUUUAAUAAUGUGUCAGACAUCUACACUAAGACAAUAUAACGUUUAUCAAUAAAAAUAUCCUCUCUUUGUAUUACCUUAA